UACGAAGGGGGCGAGCGUUGUUCGGAUUUACUGGGCGUAAAGGGCGCGCAGGCGGCUCAUUUUGUCAGGCGUGAAAGCCCCGGGCUUAACCUGGGAACUGCGUUUGAUACGGAUGGGCUAGAGUUCGGGAGAGGAGAGUGGAAUUCCCAGUGUAGAGGUGAAAUUCGUAGAUAUUGGGAAGAACACCGGUGGCGAAGGCGGCUCUCUGGACCGAUACUGACGCUGAGGCGCGAAAGCGUGGGGAGCCGAACAGG
rnacentral:rRNA from 1 species